AUGAACAUUUAUGGAUGAUUCAGAUGAGUAACAAGACUAUAAUCAAAUAAGCUAAGCUGAUUUAUGACUAUAACAGUAAAAUACUAACAUAAGAAAUAAAGGAAAAUUGCUAGAUAAUACUCGUCAACCAUAUUCUAACCUAUAGAGACUUAACAUAACAAAAACUUAAUAACACAUAAACAGAACACAUAGAAAAACCACGAGUUAAC
rnacentral:lncRNA from 1 species